rnacentral:rRNA from 1 species
GACGUAGGGCGCGAGCGUUGUCCGGAUUUAUUGGGCGUAAAGAGCUCGUAGGCGGCUCGUUGCGUCGGCUGUGAAAACCCGCAGCUCAACUGUGGGCUUGCAGCCGAUACGGGCGGGCUGGGAUUCGGUAGGGGAGACUGGAAUUCCUGGUGUAGCGGUGAAAUGCGCAGAUAUCAGGAGGAACACCGAUGGCGAAGGCAGGUCUCUGGGCCACUACUGACGCUGAGGAGCGAAAGCGUGGGGAGCGAACAGG